GGGGAAUAUUGGGCCAUGGACGCAAGUCUGACCCAGCAACGCCGCGUGAAGGAAGAAGGCUUUAGGAUUGUAAACUUCUGUCCUCAGGGAAGAAGGAAGUGACGGUACCUGAGGAGGAAGCCCCGGCUAACUACGUGCCAGCAGCCGCGGUAAUACGUAGGGGGCGAGCGUUGUCCGGAUUUACUGGGCGUAAAGGGUGCGUAGGCGGAUAUUUAAGUCAGAUGUGAAAACCCCGGGCUUAACUUGGGGACUGCAUUUGAAACUGGAUAUCUAGAGUGCAGGAGAGGAAAGCGGAAUUCCUAGUGUAGCGGUGAAAUGCGUAGAGAUUAGGAAGAACACCAGUGGCGAAGGCGGCUUUCUGGACUGUAACUGACGCUGAGGCACGAAAGCGUGGGUAGCAAACA
rnacentral:rRNA from 2 species